UUCUCACAACUACCUCA
rnacentral:miRNA from 1 species